rnacentral:tmRNA from 1 species
GGGGGUGUACUGGAUUCGACAUUCGGUCAGAGGCGGUAUAAGCACGUCGUAGGCUCGGCUACGUUAUCAACGGAACGUUAAAAUUAAACGCAAACAAAACUCAAAAGAGUGCCGGUAACAUGGCACUCGCCUUCGCUGCUUAAUUAGUGGCGCGUCGACCCGGGGUUUUCCGUUCCCUCGGUAAUCGGCGUCAGAAAAACGGACAACGCAAUCCGAACGCUCGAUAAGAUUGCUGUCACUUAGAGCUCAUCAAUCCGAGGUUUGCCGGUGAACCGAAGUGCGAAAAACCCAAUCACCCGCUAAACGUGUAGAAAGUGCCGAUUAAGAACGUUUGGACCGGGGUUCAACUCCCCGCAUCUCCACCA